CUCUUUUCAAUCCAGAUAUUUUCAGUAGUUUUAUGUGAAAUUGUACCAUGAAUUCUUUAUGUCCCCACCCUCUGAGGAAAAGAAGUAUAUCAUAGUGGUCAGCCUGACACACAGACAAAUGUGCCAUUUUCUUUCAGCUCCUUCUAGGAGCACAGAGACACCCUGAAUUUCAGAUACCCACAAUGCCCCAGAUUUCUGAAUAACAAAAACAGCAAAUAUAUGUAAAUGAUCAGUACCAAAUGUCUAGAGAAGGAGUAAUUCUCCCCUAUUCCUCAUGUAUGAGCACAUGCAAGAAAAAGGAGGGCACCCUGGGGCUUGUUUAUCCUGGCUCCCGGACUGACUGCUUUGGAAGUAUGCAAGCCAAUAAUGACUAAUGUUCUCAAGUAUUACUUAUUACUCAUAUAGCAUAAUAACAAUAAAUACUCAGAGGCCCACACACUAUUUGUUUGUUCUGCUAUUUGAACCACAAUUUAAUGUCUACCCAGCAUGGCAUCUCCAUAAAAGAACUAUUAGCUUUCUGAGCUAAACUAUAUUUAAAGAGCAGUCAAUUCUAUGGAUUCUUAGCUCUUAAUUUGCAGCUAAGUUCCAAUUAAAUCUGUGCUGUAUUUAAUCAAGUUAAAUUACAGAGACUGUUGAAUUUGAAACAAAUUUACAAUGACUGUCUGGAAGCCAGUUAGACUAUGACUUGUACAGAUCCCGAUUACAGAAGGCUGUGGUGAUAUUUGGAAUUAUAGAGCAUAAAUCAAUAUACUUUCUAUGAGAAGGUACCACUAACGAUGUCUGCACCGCAUGUAUUUAUUGAAGGCUCACUGUUGGUCAGGACAUGGUGGGGAUCUCCAAAAUAUACACACAGGACUGUUUAUGCAAAUAAGAAAUGAGACCACUUAGAGUGUUCCUGCUGAGGGACUUACAAAUGGAACUCAAAGUGACAGUUUAUAAUAUCACAGUCCUCAUAACGAUCAUAAGUCAGGACCCACUGUUCUUAUUUAACCUAGGCUAACUCUAUGUGACCUUAGUGACCAGGAAUCAAUUUGCAGCCAUCCCCUCUGAAACUGAGAAGGAGCACAAUGUUACCUGAGCUUUCCUGUUGGGGAUUAUCCUCUUUGGGACUUAGAAUAUCAAGCAGUUUCCUUAAGAAGAGAAUUGAGACUGUGUAGCUUCUUUCUAUAUCAAACUUUAUGAAGGCUGAAGGGACUUGUUUUUAUUAUUGAGCGUUCAAGAUACUUCAGAACAGAAAAGAGUGACAAAGGUCCCUCCUGAGGUAAUACAUGGCCACGGCAUAUCAACCUAUACAAGGAAGAUUGAAUAACUAAUGACUCAUGAAAACUGUCCAAAAAAUGGCAUAACUGAUUGUCACCCAGGACUUGAGUGGCAGCUUGUCAAUGCACCUCUGUUGAUCAUAUAUGAAGUUGGAGGGAUUUAAAUGACCUCUUAUUCUAGUUACAUGCAGUGUGUGGAAGAAAUCAUUGUGACUUUGAGGACUUCAGUGUUGAAUUAAGCUCCCUUGUAACUCUCUGCCUCUUAUCCUAACUGGGACUGCUACUCAGAUUCAAAUGGGAAGACUUGGGCAGGGCUGGUCAAGUCAAGUGUAAUGGGGAGGGCUGGGAAGGUAUUGGGCCAUAGGUUCCCUGAGACCCCAUUCCAGAAACCUGGUAUAGACAGCCCUAUCCAGAAGUCUGAGCAUUUAGAAACAGCAUUCUAGAUCUUCCUGCAGACCAGCAUUCCAGAGACCUCUCCAGAACUUUUGACUCUGCUUUCAUUAAAUCAUGUUGACUGUACCUGCUUACCUCUUAUGCCCUCCAUAUGUGUGUUUUGGCAUAUGUUGUUACAAUCCACUUCAAAAGACAAAUAUUUGC
rnacentral:lncRNA from 1 species